ACACUCGACAUGCCCGACAUUGUUUUUUCUAUCGAUUUUCCUUCAAUUUGACGUCACGAUUUUCGUCGACGCAAGAGUUUGACAGUUCUCUUCAGUUGGACUUGUUUGAACAUGAUUGCUGUUGAGCUUCGCAAGGAUUUUGGCCGGUUGAUAGGUUUCCUGAUUUCGGUUAUCGUGGUGGUGGAGGCGAAGGAGGAUGGGAAAUAGAGAUAACCCGGCGGCCAUGCCGGAAGACGGGAUGGGAAGGAACCAAUCUGCGGUCGAGGAAGCGGAUGUUUUAUUUUCCACGGGAGGUUGCGGUGCAUUCCCAAA
rnacentral:lncRNA from 1 species